GACGAACGCUGGCGGCGUGCCUAAUACAUGCAAGUAGGACGAGUUGCGAACGGGUGAGUAACGCGUGGUAACCUACCUAUUAGAGGGGGAUAAAUACGGGAAACGGUAGCUAAUACAGCAUACCAUCGGAUGUGACCAGAUGGGAUUAGAUAGGAGGUGGGGGAACGGCUCACCUAGGCGCCGCUCCCUAGCUGGUCUGAGAGGAUUACCAGCCACAGUGGAACUGAGACACGUUCCAGACUCCUACGGGAGGCAGCAGUUGGGAAUAUUUGACAAUGGGCGCAAGCCUGAUGCAGCCAUGCCGCGUGUAUGAAGAAGGCCUUCGGGUUGUAAAGUACUUUCAGCGAGGAGGCGUUACUCGCAGAAGAAGCACCGGCUAACUCCGUGCCAGCAGCCGCGGUAAUUC
rnacentral:rRNA from 1 species